rnacentral:rRNA from 1 species
AUUGAACGCUGGCGGCAGGCUUGACACAUGCAAGUCGAGCGGAGAUGAGGUGCUUGCACCUUAUCUUAGCGGCGGACGGGUGAGUAAUGCUUAGGAAUCUGCCUAUUAGUGGGGGACAACAUUCCGAAAGGAAUGCUGAUACCGCAUACGUCCUACGGGAGAAAGCAGGGGAUCUUCGGACCUUGCGCUAAUAGACGAGCCUAAGUCGGAUUAGCUAGUUGGUGGGGUAAAGGCCUACCAAGGCGAGGAUCUGUAGCGGGUCUGAGAGGAUGAUCCGCCACACUGGGACUGAGACACGGCCCAGACUCCUACGGGAGGCAGCAGUGGGGAAUAUUGGACAAUGGGGGGAACCCUGAUCCAGCCAUGCCGCGUGUGUGAAGAAGGCCUUAUGGUUGUAAAGCACUUUAAGCGAGGAGGAGGCUACUGAGACUAAUACUCUUGGAUAGUGGACGUUACUCGCAGAAUAAGCACCGGCUAACCCUGUGCCAGCAGCCGCCGUAA